rnacentral:lncRNA from 1 species
UGGGGUGUCAUUAGAGAACAAGGACCACAAGAAUAGGGAGGAAAUGAAGAAGAAAGCCUCAAAUUAGAUGAGAGAGGGGUUUGGAGAGAGUUAUGGCUCGAAAGAAUUGAGAGUAGGGUGAUAGAGCCUCAAGAUAUUUUCAUUUAAAAAAUCCAUCUCGGACAGAGGGGUCGACUCUUGCUAAACACAAGUCAGCUUCUGAUGAGGAAUCAACUCUAGUA